AUUGAACGCUGGCGGCAUGCCUUACACAUGCAAGUCGAACGGUAACGCGGGGCAACCUGGCGACGAGUGGCGAACGGGUGAGUAAUGCAUCGGAACGUGCCUGGUAGUGGGGGAUAACUGCUCGAAAGAGCAGCUAAUACCGCGUAUGACCUGAGGGUGAAAGGGGGGGAUCGCAAGACCUCUCGCUAUCAGAGCGGCCGAUGUCGGAUUAGCUAGUUGGUGGGGUAAAGGCCCACCAAGGCAACGAUCCGUAGCUGGUCUGAGAGGACGACCAGCCACACUGGGACUGAGACACGGCCCAGACUCCUACGGGAGGCAGCAGUGGGGAAUUUUGGACAAUGGUCGCAAGUCUGAUCCAGCCAUGCCGCGUGCGGGAAGAAGGCCUUCGGGUUGUAAACCGCUUUUGUCAGGGAAGAAAUCUUCUGAGUUAAUACCUCGGGAGGAUGACGGUACCUGAAGAAUAAGCACCGGCUAACUACGUGCCAGCAGCCGCAGUAACAC
rnacentral:rRNA from 1 species